CCUACGGGUGGCAGCAGUGAGGAAUAUUGGUCAAUGGCCGAGAGGCUGAACCAGCCAAGUCGCGUGAGGGAAGACGGCCCUACGGGUUGUAAACCUCUUUUGUCGGGGAGCAAAGCGAACCACGUGUGGUUCAUUGAGAGUACUCGAAGAAAAAGCAUCGGCUAACUCCGUGCCAGCAGCCGCGGUAAUACGUAGGUGGCAAGCGUUGUCCGGAUUUACUGGGUGUAAAGGGCGUGUAGCCGGGAAGGCAAGUCAGAUGUGAAAUCCGGAGGCUCAACCUCCGAAUUGCAUUUGAAACUGUUUUUCUUGAGUACUGGAGAGGCAGACGGAAUUCCUUGUGUAGCGGUGAAAUGCGUAGAUAUAAGGAGGAACACCAGUGGCGAAGGCGGUCUGCUGGACAGCAACUGACGGUGAGGCGCGAAAGCGUGGGGAGCAAACAGGAUUAGAUACCCGUGUAGUC
rnacentral:rRNA from 1 species